GGCGGACGGGUGAGGAACGCGUAGGGAUGUGUCCCUGGGUGGGGGAUAACGUUGGGAAACUGACGCUAAUACCGCAUAUCUGCUGAGGCAGAAAGCCGCAAGGCGCCUGAGGAGCAACCUGCGUCCGAUUAGGUAGUUGGUGGGGUAAUGGCCUACCAAGCCUACGAUCGGUAGCUGGUCUGAGAGGACGAUCAGCCACACUGGAACUGAGACACGGUCCAGACUCC
rnacentral:rRNA from 1 species